UUUGGAGUAUAUAGAAUCGUCUAUCCUACUUUCUAUAAGCAAGCUGUUAGAACUUUACUUUCAGUUCUACUUUCAUAACAACAAAACCUUAUUUACAGAAAUAUAGCACUAAAGUAGGAGACAAAGGAACUCAGCUCUCUGGUGGCCAGAAACAACGCAUUGCCAUAGCUCGUGCCCUUGUUAGACAGCCUCAUAUUUUGCUUUUGGAUGAAGCCACGUCAGCUCUGGAUACAGAAAGUGAAAAGGUUGUCCAAGAAGCCCUGGACAAAGCCAGAGAAGGCCGCACCUGCAUUGUGAUUGCUCACCGCCUGUCCACCAUCCAGAAUGCAGACUUAAUAGUGGUGUUUCAGAAUGGCAGAGUCAAGGAGCAUGGCACGCAUCAGCAGCUGCUGGCACAGAAAGGCAUCUAUUUUUCAAUGGUCAGUGUCCAGGCUGGAACAAAGCGCCAGUGAACUCUGACUGUAUGAGAUGUUAAAUACUUUUUAAUAUUUGUUUAGAUAUGACAUUUAUUCAAAGUUAAAAGCAAACACUUACAGAAU
rnacentral:lncRNA from 1 species